UACGGAGGGUGCAAGCGUUAUCCGGAUUUACUGGGUUUAAAGGGUGCGUAGGUGGGUCUAUAAGUCAGUGGUGAAAUCUCCGAGCUUAACUCGGAAACUGCCAUUGAUACUAUAGGUCUUGAAUUAUCUGGAGGUAAGCGGAAUAUGUCAUGUAGCGGUGAAAUGCUUAGAUAUGACAUAGAACACCAAUUGCGAAGGCAGCUUACUACGGAUUGAUUGACACUGAGGCACGAAAGCGUGGGGAUCAAACAGG
rnacentral:rRNA from 1 species